GGAGAUAAUUCCACUCUGCAGGGAGCUUGGCAUUGGAAUAGUUCAGUUCAAUCCUCUUUAUCCUGGAUUUUUUUAUUUUUUCGCUGGCAAGGGAGUUGUGGAAAUUUUGGCUGCAAAUAGCUUAUUGCGACAACUAAGAUCAACAACCUAGAGAACAAUAUUGACUCUUUGAAGGUGAAACUUACAGAAGAAGACCUCAAGGAGGUAUCUGAUGCUGUAACAAUAGAAGAGGUGGUAGCUGGUGGUAUAAGCUUUCAAAACAUGGAUCAUUUUCACUGGAAGUUUGCCAAUACUCCUCCAAAAAAUUAAUUCUCUAUUUACACAUGAAUGAUGUCUAUUUCAUAUAGACAAUGUUUUGGUGAAAUGAAUGGCCAGAUUUAUGUUAAAUAACUGGCUAAUCAUUCACACUGCAAAAUUAGCAACAUUAUUAUGUAAACCUUUUUGAGAUUAGCACCAAUGUGGUUUCUCUA